rnacentral:rRNA from 1 species
GUACUGUACGAAUAAGGAUCGGCUAACUCCGUGCCAGCAGCCGCGGUAAUACGGAGGAUCCAAGCGUUAUCCGGAAUUAUUGGGUUUAAAGGGUCCGCAGGCGGUCUAUUAAGUCAGAGGUGAAAUCUUGCAGCUCAACUGUAAAAUUGCCUUUGAUACUGGUAGACUUGAGUCAUUGUGAAGUGGUUAGAAUGUGUGGUGUAGCGGUGAAAUGCAUAGAUAUUACACAGAAUACCAAUUGCGAAGGCAGAUCACUAACAAUGUACUGACGCUCAUGGACGAAAGCGUGGGGAGCGAACAGGAUUAGAUACCCUGGUAGUCCACGCCGUAAACGAUGGAUACUAACUGUUCGACC